UACGAAGGGGGCUAGCGUUGCUCGGAAUCACUGGGCGUAAAGGGCGCGUAGGCGGCCUUCUAAGUCGAACGUGAAAUCCCCGGGCUCAACCCGGGAACUGCGUCCGAGACUGGAAGGCUCGAAUCCGGGAGAGGGAUGUGGAAUUCCAGGUGUAGCGGUGAAAUGCGUAGAUAUCGGGAGGAACACCAGUGGCGAAGGCGACUACCUGGCCUGUUUCUUGACGCUGAGGCGCGAAAGCUAGGGGAGCAAACAGG
rnacentral:rRNA from 1 species